rnacentral:misc_RNA from 1 species
UACCCUUGACAUGUCAGGAAGUCGCCAGAGAUGGCUUCGUGCUCGAAAGAGAACCUGAACACAGGUGCUGCAUGGCUGUCGUCAGCUCGUGUCGUGAGAUGUUGGGUUAAGUCCCGCAACGAGCGCAACCCUUAUCAUUAGUUGCUACGCAAGGGCACUCUAAUGAGACUGCCGGUGACAAACCGGAGGAAGGUGGGGAUGACGUAAGGAAUGUCGAUA